GCCGCUGUGGCGGAAUGGCAGACGCAUUCGACUCAAAAUCGAACGGGAAACCGUGCGAGUUCGACUCUCGCCAGCGGCA
rnacentral:tRNA from 1 species